GAACUAAGAACUUCCCCAAGUAAACCCUUUGGAGCAGCUAAGUUUCUCCAAGAGAAUGGUUAUGGUAAGUGAAACUGCAUGAAGUUUUACUACACGGACCAACUUGUGGAACUAGAUGAGUCUUUGAGAAGACUGCUUGACGUAUUAAAGGUGCAACAAGGAGUGAGGGAUGGAAUGGAGACUUUGGAAGAAUGGUGACCAACUUAUUGAAUCGGCAAGGGAUGAGAAGGAGACCUUGACUUUGGCAAGGAAAAUAAAUAUGUUGGUCAGGCUAAUUGAACGUUACUUCGUCCUCACAAAGGUCACAUUCAGGGAAGUUUCUUGGCAAACUAUUAUAUUGGCAUUCACCUAGAAAUCCAACCCAAAACGUUUUGGUUACGGGCUAUAAGCUUUUAUUGAUGUGCUUUUGUUUACUUAAAAGUUUUCAUUAUACUAUUAUAAGACUCCAUAUUCUUGCAGUUUCAAUUGAGCAUCUUUCUUUCCUUUCCUCUUAACAUCAAAGUCAUAUAUGAUUAUGGAUAUGCUGUGCCAAUGUUUAGGAAGGUGGAGAAAUGAGAGCAGGAACAAAGUCUCAAGCAUGAGCAGAACCGCAGGCCGAAAUCCAUUUUGAGAGGCACAGCCUCAGGGCCAUAUUUCCGAGACAUCCAACUCAAGAGUUUUCAGUUACAGAGAGCUGAAGACUGCUACUAAGAAUUUUCAAGGCCUUCAAGAAAUGGAACCCAGAAGACUUUCAAGGCCUUAAAGAGUGGCAGGAUGAAUCACUGGUAUAAUCAAACAAUCAAUACCUUGGACAAAAGAAGAGGUCAGUACGUACUCUUAUCUUAGUCUGAUAUGUAAGUGAUCAAAUCCAAAAGAUAGUACACCUUGCAACUAAUUAUCUUCAUUAGCUUGUUUACCCAAUCAUUGUGCCUUGUGUGUUGCAUGUUUAUAUAUUUCUAGUGGGCGGUAAAGACGCAGAAAUCAUAUAGCCAAAAUCAAAUUGACGAGGUGCGCAUUGAAGUGGCUGAUUAUAUACAGAGUUUGAUGUAGGACUGUGACUGCCAAGAUGUUUUUUGAGUAAGGCUAGCUAGUUUUGGCUUUGAAGCAAAUCUUGGUGUGGAACUUUUGUACAUUGUUGCUCAUAUGUUUCCAAGCUAGCUUUUGUAAGUUUAGGGGUUUAUUUUCUUAAUUAUGUUGAAUCAUGAAUUUGGAA